AAUGUACAAAAACUUUUAACACCAUAUUUUUUUAUUCAACCUAGGUCAAAAUCCUUCCAUCUCAAGAUUUUUCCUUUGAACCAAAUCCCAUAACAACAAACCAAGUUCAACGAAGACAAGCAAAGCGAAAUGUGGUUAAAAGAGUCUUGUACCGGAAUGCUCUAUGCGAACAGUACGUCAUUGCAGCCAACCAUAACGGUCUGAACACUGAUUUGAUAGACCUUAUCGAAGAGAACGCAUCGAAGGUAACAUAAACUGUUCACAUAAUUCAUGCAUCAUUAUUUUGUUUUUGUGUCAUUCGAUAGAUGAAUGAAAGUGAAUGAUUAUUAACAGUGCAUCAGCAACGAUCUAACACACCAUUGUACCUUUCAGAAAUGUGAACUAUUCAGUAGAUUUAAAUUUGCAUACAUUGCUUUUUAUGCGUGAUAUGAUAAUAAGAAAGUACAAUAGUAUGAUAUCCUGAAAUUAUGACAACUAUCCACCAGAGAUCAAAUUAUAUAGAUGACCCAGUAAGGCCUUCAACAAUGAGAAAAUCCCAUGCCGCAUAGAAAAUGAAAAUGUAAAAUAAUUCAAACGAGGAACCUAACUGUCUUAUGUAUGUACAAAAAGAAUAAGCAAAAGCAAAUGUGAUACACUGCGACAAAAAUCACCAUUGAAAUAUAGGUACAUAAAUUGGGACACGCACAUGUAGAAUGUAAUAAUGCUUUCAUACGUGCAGAAAACGUUGUGCAAUCUACAAAGAUAAUUUUGUCAAUUUAAAAAUACAAAGAAUUGCAAUAUUACUAGUAUCUCAUAUCUCAGCUUGUAGGUAAGAUUGACAAGGGUGCAGAACAAGAUAUUGGCGAUUUUGAUUUAAAAUAAUUUCAGGUACCACGGGUAGCACUGAGCAGUUUUAGAGAGCUGAGAGAUUAUCUAAAAGAACCGAUACCCAACCACCCUGACAGUGACAUUCUGCUGAUCAGGUCCUUUAUUAUUUGGUUGUCAGAUGCAUUGGCUCAUGAUACAGUUGAGGAUUUAGAGCCUCCAUCUUCUCCUCUGUCAUACAGAUCUGGUGAAGGACAAGGCAGAACCCCGGAUGUAUUAAUUAGACUGUUACGGCAACAUAAAACUACAUUUACCACAAUAUUUAUUUUAUUAUGCUGG
rnacentral:lncRNA from 1 species